rnacentral:tRNA from 1 species
GGGGAGUAGCCCAGUGGUAGAGCACUGGCCUACCAUGUGAGAGGCCCUGGGUUCUACCCCCAGCACCACCCA